GAGGUGUUAGUAAAAUAUUAUAAGGCCUUGUCAAGACCUAGUUGUUAGCUAAACUGACACACCUUGC
rnacentral:tRNA from 1 species